rnacentral:rRNA from 1 species
UACAGGGGGGGCAAGCGUUGUUCGGAAUUACUGGGCUUAAAGGGUUUGUAGGCGGCCUUGUAAGUCAGGUGUGAAAUCCCUCGGCUCAACCGAGGAACGGCGCUUGAUACUGCAAGGCUUGAGGGAGACAGGGGUAAGCGGAACUGAUGGUGGAGCGGUGAAAUGCGUUGAUAUCAUCAGGAACACCGGUGGCGAAAGCGGCUUACUGGGUCUCUUCUGACGCUGAGGAACGAAAGCUAGGGUAGCGAACGGG